CCUGCAGUCGAGCGAGGCGGCCCGCAAGGGUCAGUCGAGCGGCGAACGGGUGAGUAACGCGUGGAUUAUCUACCCUGAGGUGGGGGAUAACCCGGGGAAACUCGGGCUAAUACCGCAUAUGACCGUGAGGUCAAAGGGGGGUCGCAAGAUCUCUCGCCAUAGGAGGAGUCCGCGUUCGAUUAGCUAGUUGGUAGGGUAAUGGCCUACCAAGGCAACGAUCGAUAGCCGGCCUGAGAGGGUGAUCGGCCACACUGGAACUGAGACACGGUCCAGACUCCUACGGGAGGCAGCAGUGGGGAGUUUUGCGCAAUGGGCUAACGCCUGACGCAGCAACGCCGCGUGGAGGAUGAAGGUCUUUGGAUUGUAAACUCCUGUCGACCGGGAAAAAGCAACCCGACCUAAUACGUCGGGGAGUUGAUUGUACCGGUGGAGGAAGCCCCGGCUAACUCUGUGCCAGCAGCCGCGGUAAUACAGAGGGGGCAAGCGUUAUUCGGAAUUAUUGGGCGUAAAGGGCGCGUAGGCGGCCUGGCAAGUGGAAGGUGAAAUCCCUCGGCUUAACCGAGGAACUGCCCUCCAAACUGCUUGGCUUGAGUCCGGGAGAGGUGAGUGGAAUUCCCAGUGUAGCGGUGAAAUGCGUAGAUAUUGGGAGGAACACCAGUGGCGAAGGCGGCUCACUGGACCGGAACUGACGCUGAGGCGCGAAAGCGUGGGGAGCAAACGGGAUUAGAUACCCCGGUAGUCCACGCCGUAAACGAUGAGUGCUUGGUGUAGCGGGUAUCGACCCCUGCUGUGCCGAAGUCAACACAUUAAGCACUCCGCCUGGGGAGUACGGUCGCAAGGCUGAAACUCAA
rnacentral:rRNA from 1 species